GACGAACGCUGGCGGCGUGCUUAACACAUGCAAGUCGAACGGAAAGGCCCUGCUUUUGUGGGGUGCUCGAGUGGCGAACGGGUGAGUAACACGUGAGUAACCUGCCCUUGACUUUGGGAUAACUUCAGGAAACUGGGGCUAAUACCGGAUAGGAGCUCCUGCUGCAUGGUGGGGGUUGGAAAGUUUCGGCGGUUGGGGAUGGACUCGCGGCUUAUCAGCUUGUUGGUGGGGUAGUGGCUUACCAAGGCUUUGACGGGUAGCCGGCCUGAGAGGGUGACCGGCCACAUUGGGACUGAGAUACGGCCCAGACUCCUACGGGAGGCAGCAGUGGGGAAUAUUGCACAAUGGGCGGAAGCCUGAUGCAGCAACGCCGCGUGCGGGAUGACGGCCUUCGGGUUGUAAACCGCUUUCGCCUGUGACGAAGCGUGAGUGACGGUAAUGGGUAAAGAAGCACCGGCUAACUACGUGCCAGCAGCCGCGGUGAUACGUAGGGUGCGAGCGUUGUCCGGAUUUAUUGGGCGUAAAGGGCUCGUAGGUGGUUGAUCGCGUCGGAAGUGUAAUCUUGGGGCUUAACCCUGAGCGUGCUUUCGAUACGGGUUGACUUGAGGAAGGUAGGGGAGAAUGGAAUUCCUGGUGGAGCGGUGGAAUGCGCAGAUAUCAGGAGGAACACCAGUGGCGAAGGCGGUUCUCUGGGCCUUUCCUGACGCUGAGGAGCGAAAGCGUGGGGAGCGAACAGGCUUAGAUACCCUGGUAGUCCACGCUGUAAGCGGUGGGUACUAGGUGUGGGGUCCAUUCCACGGGUUCCGUGCCGUAGCUAACGCUUUAAGUACCCCGCCUGGGGAGUACGGCCGCAAGGCUAAAACUCAAAGGAAUUGACGGGGCCCCGCACAAGCGGCGGAGCAUGCGGAUUAAUUCGAUGCAACGCGUAGAACCUUACCUGGGUUUGACAUGGAUCGGGAGCGCUCAGAGAUGGGUGUGCCUCUUUUGGGGUCGGUUCACAGGUGGUGCAUGGCUGUCGCCAGCUCGUGUCGUGAGAUGUUGGGUUAAGUCCCGCAACGAGCGCAACCCUUGUUCACUGUUGCCAGCACGUUAUGGUGGGGACUCAGUGGAGACCGCCAGGGUCAACUCGGAGGAAGGUGGGGAUGACGUCAAGUCAUCAUGCCCCUUAUGUCCAGGGCUUCACGCAUGCUACAAUGGCUGGUACAGAGAGUGGCGAGCCUGUGAGGGUGAGCGAAUCUCGGAAAGCCGGUCUCAGUUCGGAUUGGGGUCUGCAACUCGACCUCAUGAAGUCGGAGUCGCUAGUAAUCGCAGAUCAGCAACGCUGCGGUGAAUACGUUCCCGGGGCU
rnacentral:rRNA from 1 species